CCGCUCAGAGGUAAACGGGUGGAGUUGAACUGCGAACCCUGAGAAUUCAACUGGUGAGUGUGGUAUGAGCUUGGCAUGAAGGUUGGCUCUGCGGGUCUGCUUAGCUGCAGGUCUUCGCCUUUUGGUGGAGAUGCGCGAUACACUUGUCAAGUGGUGCGCGCUCGUUGAGUUUCUCGGACAUACUUGCCAGUGCACUUUCUCGGGGUGUUCACCACGACCGGCGCCGCUACUUGUCCAAUAUGGUUAAACCGGUCUUGCUUGGUCCCUGUGGCUUUGCUUGAUCGGGAUGGCAGGUAACUCGUUGACUUGUGUGUUGACCUCGGUUGGCAUGCGCUUGGUUUUCGAGUGUAAUCAGCUGACUGUAUUGGUGCUAUGUGGUGCGUCGGAGACGGCGGCUUGUGGUGUGUGCCUGCGUGCCUAUUUGCUGACGGAACCGGGUUUGGUUAUUAUGUUGCCUGUUUUGCAGGCCUGGUGAUGGCUCGGUUUCGCUUGGUGGAUGGGAGCGUGGGUGACACUUAUCAGGGCCUAUAGUCUGUGGUGUUGUGGUAGACUAUCCACCUGACCCGUCUUGAAACACGGACCAAGGAGAGUAACAUGUGCGCGAGUCAUGGGGUGUUACGAAACCCAAAGGCGAAGUGAAAGUAAAGACUUGACUUGUUCGAGUUGAGGUGAGAUCCUGUCGUUUCUCAUGCGCGGUACUUCCAAGCAUUCGAGCGAUGGGCGCAUCACCGGCCCGUCCCAUGGUGUGGUCACUGUCUUCGGAUUGGUGCGUCACCGGGGCGGAGCAUGAGCGCACAUGUUGAGACCCGAAAGAUGGUGAACUAUGCUUGCGCAGGUUGAAGCCAGAGGAAACUCUGGUGGAGGACCGUAGCGAUUCUGACGUGCAAAUCGAUCGUCAAACGUGAGUAUAGGGGCG
rnacentral:rRNA from 1 species